rnacentral:lncRNA from 1 species
GGGAGACAAAGGGUUCCUAACAGAGAGGCUGGCAAGUUGCAAAAGCUUAGAAACAACAAAAGCACAUUGCUAAAUAUUAGUUUUGUCUGCUGGUACUUUGAAGAUGCAAAAGAUGGGGAAGUUAAAAAGGGCCAAGAAAAUGUCUUCCGAGCUAUGUACAGCAUUUUUAACAAUUGAGUAAAAUAUACUCCUAUGAACAAAAUUUUGAGCAUAUUUAUUUUUCUCUACCUGAUUCUUCCAGAAUUUGGAAACUAUUUAUCCUGCACUUGACGGAUUAGCUGGCACCAGCCAGUUUGAUAAACUGGCUCAUCUGACCUUGUGGCCCCCACCCAGGAACUGACUCAGCACAAGAUGACAGCUUCAGCUCCCUAUUAUUUCAUCUCUGACCUGACCAAUCAGCACUCCUGGCUCACUGGCUUCCCUCCACCCACCAAGUUGUCCUUAAAAACUCUGAUCCCUGAAUGCUCGGGGAGACUGGUUUGAGUAAUAAUAAAACUCCUCUGAAAAGAAAAAGUUACAAAAAUUAAAGAAAUAAAAAUUAUAAUAAGAGUUG